BHUMRCUGCACCGGAUCCCAUCAGAACUCCGCAGUUAAGCGUGCUUGGGCGAGAGUAGUACUAGGAUGGGUGACCUCCUGGGAAGUCCUCGUGUUG
rnacentral:rRNA from 1 species